ensembl:lncRNA
UGAAAGAACUUUUAUAGAAGUAUAUGUUAUAUAAUGUAUAUUUUAGGUUGAAUAACGCGAAUUUUGCGCGUCAUCCUUUGCACUUUGUAUCGUCUCAGAACUCCUUUAAAUCAAUACAAUAAUACUCCUAUGGUCCUCUUAAUAGUCCUCUAAUAGUUAAUAGUCUUAAUAGUCCUGUAAAGUCAUGUAAAGAUGGAUAGCAAAGUAUCGGCAUACAUGGCCAGUCUAAGACGCACGUGUGGGAGUGUGUGGAAAUUAUUUAAGACUGCUAGUAAUGUAUCAAGGUCUUUCAAAUUGUAAAUCUAUCACUGAUGACACGUUGUGUAACAAACGAACGCGCCUGCUUGUGUAAGACAGUUUUGUAAGGUAAGACUUUAUUAGCCCCUCCCUCGUGAGGUGCAUCGGUACACAUAUAUAAUUGGUAUACAUAUGCAAUAUAUAUAUUGCAGAAAUAUGACAAGCUGCAAUUUAUCUGGUUUGUUAUCACGGAGCUUCCGAAGCUUUCCUCAGUAGACUAGUUUUGAUCAUGUCAAUUACUGCACCCACCGGCGAAGUUCAUGAUCAAGUGCCGCAUCAUGAAACGAAGAGGACUGAGUAUAAUCUAGUUCAGGUAAAGGGGACGUGGACGAGAAAGAAUCGAAAAACUUUAAGGAAGAAUGAAAAUGAACGCGUGUCAUCUGCCAAAAUACAUGAAUGCAGUGAAGGAAGGGGGACAACCUGGACAGUGGUCAGUCCCAUUGUCUUCACCUAUCAGGUGAUCCAGACCCAAAACCUGCUGGAUCCCAGCAAUGACGCCCUCCUGACUGGCCACAUCAGAGACCCCCAGCAGCUGGAGCUUCUCAGAGGCAGCCACAAGCCUCUUAAACGCUUUGUGGUCAUGGACGAGACAGUCUUCAAGCUGUAUGGCUGCCAAGUCACUGACUACUUUGAGAGUCGCGAUGUCUUGUACAGAAUCCUUCCCCUACCCACAACGGAGGAGAAGAAGUCGAUGGAAAUGGUGAUGAUGAUGCUCAAUGAGGUCCACAAGUUUGGCAUUGACAGGCGCACAGAGCCGAUCAUCGCUAUCGGUGGCGGCGUGUGCCUGGACAUCGUGGGCCUUGCUGCUUCGCUAUACAGAAGGCGCACCCCUUACAUCCGAGUGCCAACCUCUCUCCUCUCAUACAUUGAUGCCAGCGUGGGGGCCAAGAAUGGGGUGAACUUUGCCAACUGUAAAAAUAAGCUUGGCUCGUAUAUUCCACCUGCUGCUGCACUUUUGGACAGGUCCUUUAUUCAAACAUUACCACGAAGGCACAUCUCAAAUGGUAUGGCUGAAAUGCUCAAGAUGGCGCUGAUGAAGCACAAAGGGCUCUUUGAGCUGCUGGAGGAGCAAGGUCGAUUCCUGCUGGACUCCAGGUUUCAGUCCAACAACGUAGACUUGACCUCAGCGGCUGCAGUCACCACUAGGGUGGCAAUCGAGACCAUGCUGGAAGAGUUGGCCCCAAACCUCUGGGAGGACGACCUAGACAGACUGGUGGAUUUUGGCCACCUAAUAAGUCCUGCGCUAGAGAUGGAAGUGCUUCCAGCACUUUUGCACGGGGAGGCCGUGAACAUCGACAUGGCCUUCAUGGUGUACGUGGCCCAUGAGAGGGGCCUGGUGACCGAGGACGAGAAGCUUCGGAUCGUCGACUGCAUGCUGGGGCUGGAGCUCCCCGUGUGGCACCGGGGCUUCACGCUGGCCCUGGUCCAGAGGGCGCUGCGCGAGCGCCUCAGACACUCCGGAGGGCUGGUGAGGAUGCCUCUGCCCACCGGCCUGGGCUGUGCAGAAAUCUUCAACGACACAGACGAUGAAACCCUGUGCCAUGCGUAUGAGAGGUGGUGUGAUGAGCUGGGACCAGGACUUUCCUCGUGAACCUUGACAUCUUAUGAGUUUAUGUUUGACUUCUGUUCCAGCAGCAUUAGGUAUAGUGAUGCCAAGAUCUAUUCUUUUAACAGGCUUUCACCCUGUCACUACUUCUAUAGGUCAUGUGUUCAGUACUUUUGUUCAAAUGGGAUUUCUGAUAGAACUGAAACAUGUGAAUGUAUAUGAUAUUAGUUUAAUAUGGGAUUUUCUAGGUGCUCUUAACCUUUCAAUAAGUCAAACUAUUAAUGUGUAAG